rnacentral:ncRNA from 1 species
AGGGAACGGGCUUGGCAUAAUCAGUGGGGAAAGAAGACCCUGUUGAGCUUGACUCUAGUUUGACAUUGUGAAAGAACUUAGAGGGUGUAGCAUAAGUGGGAGCUUCGGCGAUCUUGAAAUACCACUACCUUUGUUGUCUUUUUUACUUAUUCAAUGAGGCGGAGCUGGGAUUAAACAGUCGGGCCGACCCGGGUUGAAGACAUUGUCAGGUGGGGAGUUUGGCGUGGGGGCGGCACAUCUUACGUUAAACCAAUAACGCGAGGUCGUACCGUAAGGGGGGCUCAUGGAGAACAGAAAUCUCCAGUAGAACAAAAGGGUAAAAGUCCCCUUGAUUUUGAUUUUCAGUGUGAAUACAAACCAUGAAAGUGUGGCCUAUCGAUCCUUUAGUCCCU